CUGUUAGUUCAUCUGUAUUUCUUCAGAGUGUAUCCAGCUGAAGGACUGCAUCUUCACUUCCUGGCUAUCUGGUGUAGCGGAUACGCUUGGUCUUUGGAAUUCCAGAGGAGAUGGCAAGUCAGAUAAGAAACAUCAUUCAUUGUUAACCUUUUUAUUGAUCUCUCAUUAAUAAUGUAGAAUGUGAAACUCGUAUUAUUCAUAAUCGUACACAUGAAAUGUAACACAUAUCCUCACUAUGACAUAUAUUUUUAAUAUCUAGAGCACAUUUCACAUAUAGUUUGAAUUAACGGUAACUCAUUUAUUGGUUUAAAGGUAUUAUCUUGAUUAUUGCUCAUGUCCUAUUGGAUGGCUCAUGGUGAGAGGCGGAUCGUGUUUGCGCACACAAUAUCAUAUGUUUUGAUUUGUUUUAAUAAACAGCGUCUCCCCUUUCCCCUGAGGACAAAGGGAGAGUAAUCAGAUUACUAAAAAUCUCCUGGCCAGAUAAAAGGCCAGACAAUGCCUAUCAUCGGUCUCUUUAACACCUUCAUCUUCUCCAGAAUGCCUCGUCUUUUAACUUUAUCCUUUGAAGUUUCUUUGUUUCGGCGUUCUUCUUUUGCUAGCUUAUUCUUUCCAUUUUUGCUACUUAUUGUAGGCAUUGCUAACUUUCCAUACAAGCCUGAGCUUACACUUUUUGAUCUGUUUUUGCUCAUGAAAAGUAACUGAAAUCAGUUUUUCCUUUUUUCUAAAUUUCACCAUAUCGGCUCUCAAGCUUCAACAUCUGUUUUAUUACUUGGCUAACGCCGACUAAACCCGGAACAAGGGCCACCUUUAAUCAAGUGACUUUUCAUCCACCCUGAAGAGCUCAUUCGGAAUUAUAAAUUCAGAAUUAACUCAUUCAGAAUUAAAGUAUUGUGCUUCGUGUUUACAUGGAAAUAUUCAUUCUGAAUUAAGGUUUACAUGGCCCUUUAACGCUUGGGCGUUGGAAAGGAUUCUUAUUGGACAGGGAGUGGACGUGACGUAUCCCUGUUUACUGGAAGAAAACAAACUCGAUUUGCCACAGCAUUUCUUUUCCCGAACAACAUGGAGGAACAACUAAUGAGCAUGCUUUUUGCUUUGCUUUCGUUUUGAAACAGCAACCCGACAAUGGCGUACUACUUCUGUUGAAGUUGCAAGAAUGUGCUCGCAGAAUGUAUACGUUGCUACGUCCUCGGUACGUGAGGAGCCAACCCUGCACAGAAUGACCGGAAUGAACUAAAGCAGAAUUAACUGUAUGAAUAGAACGUACACAGGAAUUAGUUUAUUCGGAAUUAACUUUUUAAUUCGGAAUUAAGUGUUUACAAGGAGAUUUUGAAGCAGAAUUAACUUUAAUUAAAAAAAAAUCGAAAUAAAGAGGAAUUAAAGGUCUCAUGUAAACUUAUUGAGUGAGAGGGAGAGAAACAGAGGCCAUGCUACAGUGAGAACAAGAUGAAAAUGGAGUUGUGGGGCACUGAGAGACAGAGAGAGAGAGAGAGAGAGGAAGCUGCUAUAAUCCUCUGACUAUAAGCUGGAGCAUCAGGGCAAGGCAGUCUCAAUGUGAAGAAUGGGAGAUGAAACGCUGCCCUCAUCCUCCGCUCUGAUACCAGAUGGAGAAUCCUUCAGUCUGAGCAACAGCAACCGGAAGGAUGACUCGUCCUCUCUCCCUCUGCUCCCUCCUCCUCUCGGCUCACACUCUCAGUCUCACAGCUGGUUAUUUGACUGUUUCCAUUGAGCCUCUUCCUCCUGUCGUCAUUGGAGACACAGUCACUCUCAGGUGCAACUUCCAGACAGAUGGCAGCCUCAGAGAAAUUGUGUGGUUUCGGGUGAGCACACAGGUAACUGAAGGAGGCAAUGCCAAGCAAAAGAUUUUCACCUUUGAUGCCAUGUUCAACACUAGCUUCUUUCACAUAGAGGACAAUCGCAGACGAGAGAAUCUAGUCUACCAAUCAAGAGUAAGACUUCCUGAGAUCCAGCUGGAGGAUGAUGGCCUGUAUGAGUGCCAUGUGGGGAUCUAUGACAGAAGCUCCACAGACAAAGUGAUUCUCGCCUCUGGCAGCAUCAUCCUUACUGUGAUUGUGCCUCCCAAGACUAUCUCUGUGGUGGCAGCCAACAGCCCGGCUCCAUUCAGCCGCUAUGAGGCCCAGAACUUCACUCUGAUUUGUAUUGUUACAGGAGCAAAGCCAGCGCCCAUGGUUUACUUUAAGCGGGAUGGUGAGCUUAUUGAUGUGGUGCCAACAACACAGUCUUCCUCCUCAGAGGGAGAUCAUAGCAAGGGAACAGAUCAAGGAAAGAGCUGGAGUAGAAGCCAGGCUGGGCUCUUGAGUUCCCAGGUGGUUCUCACUAGUCAAGACCUUGAUGACACCAAAGUCCAGAAGUCCCUGUUCCUGUCGGAGCAAGAGGGGAAGCUGGCUCGGCUGGGCCAAGAUGUCCCUGGUGGCCUCGAACAAGUCCAGGAGGAGUUGUCCAAAUUUAACUCUGAGCCAACCACCGAGGUGAUCCACGAGACAAUAGUGAGCCGGGAGUUUCCUCGUUGGGUCCAGAGCAGCGAACCACUCUACUACUUCCAGCACCAGCAGCAGGCAGCAGGUGACGGGACUCUGGAGGUGAAAGCCAUGCUGACCUGGAGCCUCAACCCCCAGUUGGACAAUGAAGUUCUGUUCAGCUGCGAGGUCAACCACCCUGCUCUGUCCAUGCCUAUGCAAGCAGAAGUCACACUGGCUGCUCCCAGGGGACCCAAGCUGUCAAUGAGCCCCAGUAAGGCCAAAGUAGGAGACACAGUGCGGAUCAUUGUUCAUGGCUUCCAGCUUGGACCUUCUGCAAGUGAGGUCUUUCCUGAGCCCAUGUUCACCUGGACAAAGGUAGGUGGACACCUGCUGGAUGGCAGAGAGGAACAUGAUGGAAGGGAGCUCAUCUUAGAGAGAGUUCCUGCUGAGCUCAAUGGCUCCAUGUUCCGCUGUACGGCCCAGAAUCCUUUGGGCUCCACAGAUACCCACACCCGCCUGAUUGUGUUUGACAACCCAAGAUUGAAGAAAGGAAAGGAACAUUUCAUUGGAGAAUGGCUGAAACGAGUGGACCACAGACCAGACAAAUGACUGUGAUGGAAGCUGUUGCAUCCAGAACUGCUGGAGCACUGAAAGAAUGAAGCUAUCAACGCAGCGGUCAGUCAGCGCUCCCUCACAUUAACCUCCAUGUUGCUGCUGCUGAAAUUCUCCUGUGAGCUGACGUGACCUGAUCCUCUGGUACUCCUAAACACAUUGACAUCUACCUGAGACACCAGCUCUUUAAUGAUACCCCUGGCAGUAACUAAACCUCCAAACAGCUGCAGCACAGUGCUGCUGGAACACUGAAGGAGCAGAAGGACUCAAACCUCAACAAGAAGACAGCUUCUGAUACAGCAUCAGAAAAAAAGAUGCUCUACGUAUAUAUUAAACUGUAGUAACAGUAGUACAAACUGUGACUACAUUCCAAAUUAAAUUCUUUCUUUUUUUUCUGUCACUUUAUAUACUGUUUCAUUCAGUUUGCAUACAAGUGGGGCAUACUAUUUUGUCUUAACAUUGUGUCCUAUACUGUUGCAGUCAACAGUGUGAAAUAAGCUGUGCACUGUCAGCGACUUCAACUUGUUUAUGCUUGCAUGAAACACUGUGUACUUCCACACAUGAUGGAACUGUGUCUAUGAUUUUGGGGCACAAUGGUUAGGAGAGUGUGCUGGCUUGCGUACUGCAAAAUGUGACCAGAUAUACUUUGACAUUCUGCUAUUUUUGGCAAAAUGCAUUGUACAUACACUACUCACAAUAAGUUAGGGAUAUUGUUAUUUACAUGAGUGCUUCCCCUAUUUGGUCUGAAUUUUAAUGAAAUAAGUAAUAGUUGCCUUUGAUAUUACUAUUAAUGAAUGAGAAGAAGCACCAUUCUCAUUAGUGCAAUAUUUAUUACCUCAACAACUUAGAUAAUAACAAAGACAGCCCCAAAUAACCAAAAUUGACAGUCAGUAGCAAAUGUUUCCACCAUUUGCCACAAUGACAGUGACGUCUCAUGCUCCUAACUAGCCUCAUGAUGUUGUUCCACUCCUCCACAAGUCCUACAUGCAGUUCUGCCAGGUCACGUGGGUGUGGGGUACGAGCAUCCAGUCGCUGCUUCAGCUGGUCCCAGACGUGCUCUAUGCGGUUCAAGUCAGGGGACAUUGCUGACCAUACCAUAUGAGGCACUCCGACUUCCUGAAGUUGAGCUGUGACAAUUCUGGCACCAUGUGGUGGAGCAUUACGAUCCAUGAACAGAAACUUGGGGGGUAUGCUGGUGGAAUUGGGGGAUGAUGAUGGGUUCUAUGAUGUCUCUGAGGUAAGAACGUGCAGUAACUGAGCCAUGUACAAUCACCAAAUCUGUUUUGCGCUGACUGGUGAUGCCUGCUUGGACUGUUGCACCUCCUCCACCAAAGCCAACCCCGGGGACCAUGUUGACCUUCUCCAGCAACGCUGACGACCAUCAUUUCUGUGCAAGGUGACCCGGCACUCAUCAGUGAACAGGACGGUAGACCACUGCUGCAUUGUCCAGGUCAUAUGGUCUUGUGUCCCCUGCAAACAGGCACGGCGGUGUCUUGGUGUCAGUGGAGUCACCUGCAACGGUGGUCUGGCAUUCAAGCCAAAGCGGUGGAGUUGGUUGCGAAUGGGUUGUCUGGAAACCUUAGUAUCCCUCACUUCUCGUAAACAGGCCUGCAGCUGUGUGGCAGUUGCAUAGCGGUGUCUCAGUGCAUAGGUCCUUAGGUACUGGUCAUUAUUGCAGUCCAUCAUUCGUGGGGCUCCACUCCUGGUCUGUCACCAACACUGCCAGUAGUUCUGUGUCUUGCUGCAAGUCUACUGAUGACACUCUGAGACACAUCAAGUUCAUGAGCAACAUUUUACUGCCUGCUACUGACCCAAAGGUGUGCUAUGGCCAGGUGGCGCUGCUCGUCCGUUAAGUGACGUCAGAUGUUCAUGGCUGCUUGAAUGAUGAACGGGGAAUGACUUACUGAUAAUACCAUUUUUUUUUAUACCCCCAGAAUGUUGAAAUUGAUGCCACAUUGAAAAGGGUUGUCUUUUUGCAUUUUUUGGCAUUGGCCCCAAUAUGUAAGGCACACUGUACACAGUGAGACCAUUACAUGGAAAACACAAAAUGAGCUGUGUCUAGCACCCUAAUACAAUUGCCUCCCUAUCCCCAAAAUCACUGAAGUGAAACAAACACCUUAUGUAUGAAAUCCACUGAGGACCUCACAAUAUCCCUAACUUAUUGUGAGUAGUUAUCAUUGGGACAUACUCAAUCUUCUUCAUGCACACUAUAUGGUAAAAUAGUAUAAAUAUUGGAAUGCAUCCUAUUUGGAUAUUCAACUGUUAGAUGUGUUUAUUUCAUCAAGUGCUGUUUCUUUUGUCUGUAAGUAUGUCUUUCCUAAAUAAGACUGAAGAGCUCAGUUUCAACUUCAUCUGUCCACAAUGUAUGUUCAACCUCUGUAACUUAAUCAGAUGUUGACUUUAGUGACAUUGUUGCAGGUAAGGUUUCCCUUUAAAGACUGUUCGAUGUAGACCCUGUUAUGUACAGCCAUGGCCAUAAGUUUGGACACAAGUACCAUGACGCUUGUGAAUCUUAGAAAAUACCACAAAAUUGUCACUUACAAUACAGUACACAACUCCUGAGAACUAUAUUAAGUUUCAUAUUUAAAAAAAACAUCAAAAGAGUUUGGUGUCAUUUUGUUAUUCUUACCAAAUUCGGUUGUGAAAGUACUGCAUUUUUUUGUUAUUUUCUUCUAAUAUUAUGUUUUGGGAACAAAGUUGUUCCAAUUGUUGGAAUUUAUUGAUAAUAUUAUAUCCCUUGUUGAUUUGUUGACUAAUUAAACUGGUGCUGUCAAAAAAUAUUAGUUAUGUUCUGUAAUAGACAUCAAAACAGACAUAGGAAGUCAUGCUGUGUCCAAACUUAUGGCCAUGGCUGUAUUAGUGCUGCCCAGUGUAUUCUUUCUCUUCCAGAUGUUGUCUUGAAUUCCCCUCAGUUGUAAUGGUAAUCAUAUUUCAAACAGUUGAAAUUAAAAGCUGGAACCAAAGGGA